rnacentral:ncRNA from 1 species
CUCUGUUCCAGAAUGGUUCAGGGCGGGAGGAG